rnacentral:rRNA from 1 species
GACGAACGCUGGCGGCGUGCUUAACACAUGCAAGUCGAACGGACAGGCCCUGCGUUUGUGGGGUGCUCGAGUGGCGAACGGGUGAGUAACACGUGAGUAACCUGCCCUUGAAUUUGUGAUAACUUCAGGAAACUGGGGCUAAUACCGGAUAGGAGCUCCUGCUGCGUGUGGGGGGAUGGAAAGUUUCGGCGGUUGGGGAUGGACUCGCGGCUUAUCAGCUUGUUGGUGGGGUAGUGGCUUACCAAGGCUUUGACGGGUAGCCGGCCUGAGAGGGUGACCGGCGACAUUGGGACUGAGAUACGGCCCAGACUCCUACGGGAGGCAGCAGUGGGGAAUAUUGCACAAUGGGCGGAAGCCUGAUGCAGCAACGCCGCGUGCGGGAUGACGGCCUUCGGGUUGUAAACCGCUUUCGCCUGUGACGAAGCGUGAGUGACGGUAAUGGGUAAAGAAGCACCGGCUAACUACGUG